CCUGUUACUUCAAGUCCACUGAUGGCCACAACAACAACUGGUCAUUCGACUAUUCUCACCUUAAUCUCCCUGUACUCGCUCACCUUGCUGCAAAACGUGACAUUUCUAGAUGACCAUACGACCUAGGUCAUCAUUGCCUCCUCCGAUCAGUCGUCGGGCUUCUCCGAUCAGUGUUGUACGCCUCUGAUUAUCCUCUCCACGAUCAUCCAUCUCAUCUCAGGCUUUGGCUUCGGGGAUUUUCCAAAUCAACACCGCCGUCUCUUCCUUCUUCCGCCUCGUCAAUUCCCUUGGCACCCCCAAAGAUAUUCUUCAACUUCGAGAAAAACUACACAAAACGAGGAACCAUAUCACACAAUUGGUGAAGGAGACUUCAUCCAAACUCAGUCAAGCCAGUGAGGCCGAUCACCAACAUAAUAAUCAAAUUACAGUGUUUAUGUGUUGAGACGAACUUCAAAGAAACUUUUGUGGCAAUAGUUUGCAAGAGAAGAAAGGUUUCAAAAAGGAAGAUAUAUAGGCUUUUAUUACCAACUUUGGACAUCAUGUUUGAUAAAAGUUGGUUACAGUUCAACAUGUAAUAAGAAUCGAGGACUUAGUUAAUAUUAAGUUAAUAAAUUCAUAGAUAGAUAGGUUAUACCUUUCUCUAAUAAUUUUGAGUAUAUAUUUUUCAUUUAAUUGUAGAGCUUCAGAUGAGUAUAAGUAAGACGCUAAGAGUUUUGUAGAGACAAUAGAGAAAGGCUAAUUAUCCAAAAAAAUUAUUGUGUCCCUGCAAAGUGUGUCGAAACUUAAGUCACCAAGAUGUCAGCAUUCUUUAUGAGCAUUUGAUCAUAAAUGGGAUUGAUCCAACUUACAAAAUAUGUUUUCAUCAUGGGGAAGAAGUAUCUAGAAGUGAUGAUAUUGACGAAAUGAAUUAUUUUGAUGCUUAUAAUGUGUUUAGUGCUACAAAUCUUGAUGACUAUGAUUUUGACGAACAUGUAGAAGGCCCUGAUGACAAUUUCACCAAAAAAAUUAGAAGAUGCAGAAAUUCCAUUAUAUCCACAGUGCACAAAAUACACUAAGUUAUUUGCAAUUGUUGCUUUGUAUAAGCUUAAAACUUCUAAUGGAUUGUCGGACAAAUGUUUUGA